UACGAAGGGGGCUAGCGUUGCUCGGAAUCACUGGGCGUAAAGGGUGCGUAGGCGGCGCGGUAAGUCGGGGGUGAAAUCUCGGGGCUUAACUCCGAAACUGCAUUCGAUACUGCCGUGCUUGAGGACUGGAGAGGAGACUGGAAUUUACGGUGUAGCGGUGAAAUGCGUAGAUAUCGUAAGGAAGACCAGUGGCGAAGGCGGGUCUCUGGACAGUUCCUGACGCUGAGGCACGAAGGCCAGGGGAGCAAACGGG
rnacentral:rRNA from 1 species